rnacentral:rRNA from 1 species
AACGAACGCUGGCGGCAGGCCUAACACAUGCAAGUCGAGCGAAGCCUUCGGGCUUAGCGGCGGACGGGUGAGUAACGCGUGGGAACGUGCCCUUCGCUACGGAAUAGCCCCGGGAAACUGGGAGUAAUACCGUAUGUGCCCUUCGGGGGAAAGAUUUAUCGGCAAAGGAUCGGCCCGCGUUGGAUUAGGUAGUUGGUGGGGUAAUGGCCUACCAAGCCGACGAUCCAUAGCUGGUUUGAGAGGAUGAUCAGCCACACUGGGACUGAGACACGGCCCAGACUCCUACGGGAGGCAGCAGUGGGGAAUCUUAGACAAUGGGGGAAGCCCUGAUCUAGCCAUGCCGCGUGAUCGAUGAAGGCCUUAGGGUUGUAAAGAUCUUUCAGUGGGGAAGAUAAUGACUGUACCCACAGAAGAAGCCCCGGCUAACUCCGUGCCAGCAGCCGCCGUAAAAC